rnacentral:lncRNA from 1 species
CAGGUGCUAAUUGACACAUUGGGAAAAGCAAAACUGAUUGCUGAGAACUUUUUUUGUGUUUUGAUUUAAAACAGAAAUGCUCCCUGAACUCUACAAAACUGCUGUGCCCAUGUUUCCUCCAAGAGGCUGUUAACGAUCUUCAGAGUUCUAUUUAUUGUUUUCCCAACUUCUUUGUAAGACAGAGUUCAUCCAUCCCCUCUUGACUGUCUUGCAGUUGAGGUGUCUGCACCUAAUUGAAGAGUAAAUGGUGAUGUGCCAGCUUCCUGGUAUCUUCUAUGGUAGCUGGAUAAAUGCAUUGCUUUGCCUCUGAAAUUCUGAGCUGGCUUGGUUUUAAGAAACGCAGCAGACAACCUUGUUAAUUCUGUGUAUGGAUUGGGAAUUGCAUGAUCCUGUGUUGAUUCAUGUACAGAGAUGUACUCAUGUCUAAGUGUUUCCAGCCACAUUGCUCAGGGUUUUGUUUCCCACUUCUGAGUGCUUCUGAGCCUGGCCACUCUUUCACAUCCAGCUCAGUGCUCACUUCACAUGCCAUCCUGCAAAGUAAAACGUAUGUCCUGGGUUGCUGGAGCAGUUUGUCUGCACAGACAUCACUGGUGGGGUGGGUAGGAGCAGCUACAAAGGAGGCAGCCAUGUUUGUUUCAGACCAGGCCGCAUUCUGUGCAGCCAUGACAACUGGGCGGCAGCUGGCCUGGUGGCUUCUGCCCACUGCUGAUGUUGCUAGAAGGAUAAGAAAGCUGACACUGAACACAGUAUGGAUGUUAUCUGUUAUCGUGAAAGACAGAUUUCCAGCAAGGUCUCAGGUACAAAUGUGUUUCUGAAGAAGAAGAAGAAAUAAAUGAGUAUCUGGGAUUUCUGGAAGCUUAGAG